CUUUAGUAACGGCGAGUGAACAAGAAAUAGCCCAACGCUGAAUCCUAUAGUUUUUGACAACUAUUAGGAACUGUAGCGUAUAGGUGCAACUGUUCAACGGCUUUGCAUACUCCAAGUUCCCUUGACUGAGGCCACAGUCCAGAGAAGGUGCUAGACCUGUAGGAGUAGURAAACCGUUUGAUAUUGGUUGUUCCAUUGAGUCGAGUUGUUUGAAAUUGCAGCUCAAAGUAGGUGGUAAACCUCAUCUAAGGCUAAAUACGACCACGAGACCGAUAGCAAACAAGUACCGUGAGGGAAAGUUGCAAAGAACUUUGAAGAGAGAGUUCAAGAGGGCGUGAAACCGCUUAGAUGGAAGCGGAUAGAGUUAACAAAACACAGCAGCAAUCAUCCGAUUAGAUGUUGAACGUGUCGGCUGUUGACGCUUACAACCUGUACUGUUGCACUUGUGUAGCAGGAGGGCAGUUUGUGUUCGGUUGAUGUGUACAAUGUUUGACCGGUGCUCUUGCUGUUGUUAUGCAUUGAGGGGCUUGCAAAGGUACGGGAACACUUGAACAUCAGAGGCCUACAUUUUAUGAAUGCAGAAACCUUAUGUUUGUGUUUUUUUUCCGCUAUCCUUUGUAAGUUAGUGCUUUCGUAACUGCGCCUGCUGUUAGCGUAAUUCAACUGCAUUGUUGUAGACGUAGUGUAGUAUGGAUUUGUCGCUUGUCGGCUUGUCCUAUUCUCUAUGUUUGCAUCGUUGAUGCUGGUUGUUAAUUACUGGUUAGGCGUUGGCUCCACAGUGUAUACAAAAAGUUAAUCACCUAUCCGACCCGUCUUGAAACACGGACCAAGGAGUUUAGCAUAUAUGCAAGUCAUUGGGUGUUUAAAACCUAAAGGCGUAAUGAAAAUAAUAAUAUGGGAUCUGUAUGCUGUGUGUAUAAUGCGUACAGCGCACCAUAGUCCUGCUAAUAUUGCUUGCAAUAUAGCGGAGAUAGAGCAUAUAUGCUGAGACCCGAAAGAUGGUGAACUAUGCUUGAGCAGGAUGAAGCCAGAGGAAACUCUGGUGGAAGUCCGAAGUGGUUCUGACGUGCAAAUCGAUCACCUGACUUGAGUAUAG
rnacentral:rRNA from 1 species